UACGGAGGGAGCUAGCGUUGUUCGGAUAUACUGGGCGUAAAGCGCACGUAGGCGGCGCAGCAAGUCAGGGGUGAAAUCCCGGAGCUCAACUCCGGAACUGCCUUUGAAACUGCAGUGCUAGAAUUCUGGAGAGGCGAGUGGAAUUCCGAGUGUAGAGGUGAAAUUCGUAGAUACCAGGAGGAACACCAACGGCGAAGGCAGGUGACUGGACAUUUUGUGACGGCUGAGGCGCGAAAGUGUGGGGAGCGAACCGG
rnacentral:rRNA from 1 species